AUUGAACGCUGGCGGCAUGCCUUACACAUGCAAGUCGAACGGCAGCACGGGUGCUUGCACCUGGUGGCGAGUGGCGAACGGGUGAGUAAUACAUCGGAACGUACCUUAUCGUGGGGGAUAACGCAGCGAAACAUGUGCCAAUACCUCAUACGACCCGAGGGGGAAAGCGGGGGAUUGAAAGACCUCGCGCGAUUAGAGCGGCCGAUGCCUGAUUAGCUAGUUGGUGGGGUAAAAGCCCACCAAGGCGACGAUCAGUAGCUGGUCUGAGAGGACGAUCAGCCACACUGGGACUGAGGCACGGCCCAGACUCCUACGGGAGGCAGCAGUGGGGAAUUUUGGACAAUGGGGGCAACCCUGAUCCAGCAAUGCCGCGUGAGUGAAGAAGGCCUUCGGGUUGUAAAGCUCUUUUGUCAGGGAAGAAACACCGGCUCUAACACAGUCCGAGAAUGACGGUACCUGAAGAAUAAGCACCGGCUAACUACGUGCCAGCCGCCGCGGUAA
rnacentral:rRNA from 1 species